CCUACGGGCGGCAGCAGUGAGGAAUAUUGGUCAAUGGACGCAAGUCUGAACCAGCCAUGCAGCGUGCAGGAAGACGGCCCUAUGAGUUGUAAACUACUUUUGUACGAGGGUAAACGCAGACACGCGUAUCUGUCUGAAAGUAUCGUACGAAUAAGGAUCGGCUAACUCCGUGCCAGCAGCCGCGGUAAUACGGAGGAUUCAAGCGUUAUCCGGAUUUAUUGGGUUUAAAGGGUGCGUAGGCGGUUGGUUAAGUUAGUGGUGAAAUCCUGAGGCUCAACUUCUGAAUUGCAUUUGAUACUGUUCGUCUAGAGAGUAGUUGCGGUAGGCGGAAUGUAUGGUGUAGCGGUGAAAUGCUUAGAGAUCAUACAGAACACCGAUUGCGAAGGCAGCUUACCGAGCUACUUCUGACGUUGAGGCUCGAAAGCGUGGGGAGCAAACAGGAUUAGAUACCCCGGUAGUC
rnacentral:rRNA from 1 species